rnacentral:rRNA from 1 species
CCUACGGGAGGCAGCAGUGAGGAAUAUUGGUCAAUGGGCGAGAGCCUGAUGCAGCGAAGUCGCGUGAAGGAUGAAGGCCCUACGGGUUGUAAACUUCGUUUGUCAGGGAGAAAUUGGGUACACGCGUGGGCUUAGAGAGAGUACCUGAAGUAAAAGCAUCGGCUAACUCCUUGCCAGCAGCCGCGGUAGUACGGAGGAUGCGAGCGGUAUUUGGAUUUAUUGGGUUUAAAGGGUGCGUAGGCGGAAUAUCAAGUCAGCGGUAAAAAUACGGGGCUCAACCCCGUCGCGCCGUUGAAACUGAUGAUCUGGAGUGAGCGAGAGGUAAGCGGAAUUCGUGGUGAAGCGGUGAAAUGCAUAGAUA